CCACUCCCACCCAGGCUGCUCCGUGUCGCAGCAGCAGCCUCACCGCAGCGCUCUGCCCCGACCAGCUGGCGCACAUCACCGCCGUCCAGAAUCUUCAUAGAACUGCCUGACCUCCUCGCCAUUGAGUGCGAUGCCCGUUUUGGAGCUGGACGGCUCGGUUUCCUCGAUGCUGAACAGAUCCUGCCCGCUGGCGGGAGUGAAGCCCAAAGCAGCCAUGAGGAGUGACGCAGAGUGGUCUCUCAGCAUCGCCACGUGACUCACCGUGAGUGCUGCCCCCUGCCGGAGUGGAGGGGGAUUGUUUACUGUUUGACUUCAGAGGCUUGUAGGAAAUUAUAACUUUAGUUAAAGUGCAUGAGAUUGAUCAGAUAACUAUUCUUAAAAUAGAGAAAGUAAACAUACUCGUUAUAGAGAAUACAAUAUAAACAAUAAUACAAUACAUAUAUAGUCAAAAUAUAUUAAUGUUAUGAGCAGCAGAAAGUUAAUGUUCAAUAAACUUUUACCCAGAGAGGGGUAUUUGGUUAUUAUUUAUAUCAUAAAUAGUGUUUUAUAUUUCCUGACUUUUUUUUCUCUGAAGAUCCCGGAAAGGGUUAUUAAUAUUUGGUUAUGUGUGGCUUUCUGGAAAACAAUACAUGUUUACAUUUAGGCACCCUUGCGAUCGUCACACUUUUUCUGUUACAAACUGACCCCCAUCAGAAGAUUAUCAUAAUAUAUUACUUUAUGUUUUGCUUUUAGUUUUUGAUUAAUGAAAAGCCCAGAUAUCCUUAAAUGAUAAAAAAAAAAAAAAUGUUUUCUUACAUUUCGGUCGAGAUAACAGCUGCACAAUAUGUAUCUGCAUAUUGGAAUUGAUUUAUUCUCUUUUGACUGAGUCACAAAUUGAAAGUAAAUUAAAUGCUGCAGCGUACACCUUUACAAAUACCCCUCAUAAACCUAUUCACAUGCGCUCGCAAGGUGAACAAAUGUUUUAUUCUUAUGGCACUUUUCUAAACACGGGUUACACGGAUGGCUUCACGGGAAUAUUUCAAAAAUAAUGAAACAAAAUAAACAUGACAACACACAUAAUGACACGUGAUCUCUGACAUCCGUUAGUGACCAUAAUCAUAUCCAGUUUGUAGAAAGGUCGCCGAACUCUCGGCAUGCACGACUGUGUUUGUUGGUAAAACGAGACGCUUGAAUGAGAAAGAGCUGAAUGAAGAGGGGCGUGUCAGGGGCCGAGGGGGAGGAGCUACGAGGGCAAGACCCGUAAGAGCUUUUGGACUAAGUAGAAGAAUAAAGUCGAGCUAGGGAGGUUGCAGGAAACUCCACAGCAGCGACUGUGAACAACAAACGUGAAGCUUGUAGAGUAAAAUGUUAGCCUAAUAUCUUAGAUAUCAGACCCUUGAAAGCACCAUCUAUGAUGGAAUGUAAACAUGAUUCAUCUGUUUACUUCAGUCAUUUUUGCAAAAAGUGUGUUGUAUAAAUGACAAUAAAUUCUCCAUGAAUCCACUCA